UUGUUUGCGCGUGUGGACUUCUCAUGUAUCUUCCCGAACCGAGUCGUCAGCCUCUGCCUGCCGCGCGUUCCUCCUCCCCCUCUCUUCCUAAUAGCCCACACAUGCCCACGAUUGGGGUAGUCGCCCGCAGCAAACACUCAUCUCUAUUUUCUUUUGCUUGUCAUUUCCCUUGCGCUUCUUACCGCUUUUGUAGCGUUAUUUCUACAUCUCACAGGGCCCCACCUGCGCAUACACAACUCUGUCGCCCCCCCCCCGACCCCGACCUUGUGCGUCCGCGGCUAUUGGCUUUCGAUUUUUUUCUUUUGCUUGCGCACCCUGCCUUUCGCUCAUCACAGGCGAAGGGAGGAAGUAACCACGAGGAAAGAGGUACACGCUGGCACUCAUGAACUUGAGUCCUCCACGGCUGCCGCGCUUAGGCGGCCACAAGUCUGCCCCUACGUGCAACUCGUCCACGGCGCCGUCCUCUAACACACACACACCUGCCGUUUUGGCGAACGUCGAUUCGGCGAAUGUAACCCGCUCGUCGGACCGGAUGGAUCGGCCGCACAUCGACGUGGGAUAUGACAACGACGGUGUCCCGCUCGCCUCGCACAGCUCAAGCAGCUUCUCUGGUGGUGGUGCAACUGGCAUGGGAGCGGGGCUGUCGCAGCAACCAACACCCUCGUCGAAACUCACCUCGGCGCAUCCGUCUUCUAGCGCUCCUGCGGAUGCGUGGAAGUCGAGCAUGAGGAAUGAGGUGCUGUGCGGGAAGCCACUGCGGCAGAGUUCGCCGGAAACCUCCGCAGCCGUGCCGCGGGAAAACCUGUACAACAUCGUGGAAGAAGAGGAAGAUAUUGAUAUGGACUACGCAGAUGAAGAGAGCGCGCAGGCCUGUAAGGGCAGCGGUAGCGGCAGCGGCACAACACACCCGCAGCACCGCUAUCCCAUCAUGAUGCCGGGAUCCGGCGUAGCCAGGGUCGCUGUGCCGCCGAUACCCGUGAUGAGCGCCAUCGCCGCACCAGCCAGCCCAGUGAGCGUCUGCAGCUCCAUCGCCACCGAUACACCGCGGUCUAUCUUGAGGCAAUCAGGCGCCGGAGGCGGCCGGACGCCGCGGUCGAACAGCCGCCGAAUUAGUUUCGUGGGAGUCUCGCCCCCCCGCCCGGACGAGCACCGCUGCCGUCGCGAUGGCGAUGAAGAAAGCGGGGACGACAGUGACGACUACGAGUCAGCGGAGCCGUCGCUGCGCUACGACAUCGCGACGCUGGCGAUGUCUGCCACCUCGACCCCGCCGCGGCACUCUCGGAAGGUACACAGCCGUGAUCCUUCUUUGCACGACGGUCACCACCACAGCCACGAACAUGGCGAGGGUGACAGCGACCGGGCGUCGAUCCCGGUGCCGGCGUCGCAGCAACAGCAAAAGCGGACCUCCCCGUCACUCUCGCCGGAGCGUCCGCGCCUGUCCAGCCGCUCCCCGACCCACUCCCCGCCGCGCGACAGCGGAAGCGGAUACACGAUUUCGGCCGGGCCGCCAUUAUCGGCUGCGGUGACAGCCCCCUCCGCGCCUCCCCCGCCUGAGGAAGAGGGGGACGUGAUUACGCUUGACGCGGCGCCGCAGCACUGCGCUCUUGACGAGCAGCAUCUCUUGAAAAGUUCCAAACGAGGCGGCGAUCAGCGUCGUGCGAAAAGCCCUUCGAUGGGGACCAACGGACGCGAUGAAGACGUGCUGACCCAGCCGCAUAAUCGCAGCGAAGCAAGCGGUGGCAGCCACGGCGCUGUGGUCGUGCGUCGCCUGCCUCCGCGGCAGCGCUGGCCGUCAGAGGCGUACCAAGAUGAGCCCCCAACAGAGGUGAGCAAGACGCAGCGAGCGCAUCGAUCCCGGCGUGAGAGACUCGACCCAGAUGCCGACAUGGGCAGCAGCAGUAGCCGCUGCAGCAGCGACAUGGACUCGAACUUCACUGGCAGCGACGGCUCCUUGCCAGUACGCUACGUCUCACCCCUGAAGCCGCAUCAAGAUGAGUAUCGAGGAUCGAGCUACCAGCCGACCUCAUCAUCGCCACCCGCGCUCGCCUGCGCAGCGUCAGUGGGAAUUGCAGGGGCACCGCCGACCGGUCACCCCUCGCCGCAUCGACUUAGCACAAGCGCGAGCAAGGAUCGUGAUGGUACUAGCAGCGCAAGAAGCCGAGAAAAGUCGUUGACGCCGCGGUCACCUCCGUCGCUGACACAGCGAGACGACACAGACGAGCCGAUCCGCGGCAGUAGCGAUCACGAUCACCAUCAUAGACGCUCUUCCAGAGGAGCGGAGACAAGGUCCGGCCUGCCAGCAGAGGCUGGAGAAGCCCUACCGACACCGCACAGCCGCGCUCGCGGCAUGCGAGUGGGUGUGGAAAUGCGAGGUCCGUACACCCACGCAGGUGCCGCUGCCUCCCAUCCACGCAGAGAAGCAAGCUACUCUCCCUCGACCAUCACAGACCACAGCUCCGGCCAGAGCGUGGCAGACGACCUGUCUGGCUCCGUGUCCGCGGCGCCCGCGCAGGGGGCGAGACGGGAACCGAAGAACUACCAGCAGCAGCAUGAGGCGGUGCCGUCAGCUCUGUCAGCUGCGACGGCGGCGGCACCACCGAAGCGAUCCGAGGAUAGGAAGGUCGAAAAGGCAGUGGUUGCCGAAGAGCCGCAGGUGUACGUGGAUCCGCUCUUGCUCGAGCGUCGACAUCGCCACGAGCUCGCGCGGCAAGAGUUGCCGUCGCAUGUAGAGCGGCACUCACCGAGCGCCGGUGCAACGAGGGACAGCCCCCACGCAGGAAAGUCGCAACCGCACCGGCGGCACUCUGGGCUCCACGCGCGCCGCAGGAGCCCGGGGUCUAGAACUGCGGCGCAGCAGCAGCCAGCCACCUUCGAGUCAGUGAGCUUGCGGGACAUAAUAAUGCGCUACGACUCGCCGGAGACCAAAUCACGAUGCGGCACGCCAUCCACCCAGUUCACUGCUCGGGCGAUACUACGGCUUCCUUCCGACGUGCGGCAGCUUCAGCUCCAGCACAGCGGGGAUGGCGACGAUGAUGAUGCAGCUCACGCCCUUACACCCGGCGCGGUAGCCUUGGAAGCGUCUGUAGCGUCCUCUUCGCUCCUCUCUAGUGGUGGCGUGCCGGCCGAUGAGCUUUUCUGGGACGAGCCGACGCCAACCUCGCGCGCCAGCAGCCGUUCACCGCCCCCUGUUUCCCCAAGAUCCUCCUCGACGCUGGCACCCAACACUCCCGACCGGCACAAAGUGCUUCGCAAGAAGCUCGUUGUCGUCGUGCGCCGAAAGAAGAAUGGCUCAGCGCCGUCAGAGAACGAUCCUGUGGUACAGAUGUCGCUGCUGCCCUUCAAGGAGGGCACUGCAGCUCUACUGAAAGCGAACGCCUCGCUGCAAGGGUCACCGCAGCAGCGACGCGCGCACAGCUCCGGCACCCCUGCCGCGGCAGCCGCUCCGGCUCUGGAGAAGCUGAUCGACAAAGUGGAGCGAGGCGGGAGUGCCUCCGUGUCCUCCCGCUGCCUCAGCCGCGCAUCUGAACAUCAAGGCCAGAGGCCGCGUGAACUUUCGCAGAGGCGCGACGGGUGCGACGACCACGCCGGUGAAAACGAGAUCAGCGUGGAAGAUCGUAUGCGGUUCCGGCAUGCGCUGUCAGUGCUGUCAUCUCGAAGUGUGAGCCCGCGCGCAUCUGUCUCACCAUCGACUACGUCGAAGGCGGGGCGGUCUCAGCGAAGUCGCACACGCUCACCAGACUCGCAAAACAAUGCCUCAAACGAUCGUGCGCGACCACGUCGCCGCAGCGGCAGCGCUAGCGAGGAUUCCGUAUCGCACACUGGUGAUGCCGCGCUGAGAAGGAGCAGUGGCCGCAGGCAUAGGUCUCACGUGGCCGCGGUGAGCGAAACGGCAGCGGCGAGCAUAUGUGCGACAUGGCCGCCCCAGCGUCGAUCUGCCCGCAGCGUCUCACGUCACUCCGACGAGAAGUCGGCGCGUAGGUCCGACGGCGGGCAUCGCCACAAGUCGCGGCGGAGACAUAGUCACGAGAGGGUAGCGCACAGCACCGCUGAGCGCCGGCGACAUUCUCUUUCAGGCGCAUCUAUGCCUGGCGCACCGUGUUGCGCAACGCAAAACGACGAGUUCUACGGCGCCGCGGACAUGGCAAAGGAUGUGGCGGCGCUCUUUCCAUCACCUUUGCAGGAGCGCAUCGGCAUCACGCCGAUGUCAGUGCCGCUUCUUCCGCGGCUGGUGCUGCGAGCGGAGCUUGGUGCGCUGCCGCAAGGGCAGUAUGCCCAUCGCCCGCACAGUAACAUCGACGCAGUUCAGCACACCGACGGCUCGUGGUCCGCCUCCGAUGGCGAGGAUGAGCAUACCAUGCGCCGAAUCACCGAUAGCGCGAGCGUUGGGCGUCGCUCACGUCCCCUGAUGCUGCAGUUCAGCAGUGGCACGCAAACAGAUCGGGCGACAGGAGUCAGUCAUGCUUUUGGUAGCGCUCGCAGUGGGAUGCCUCUCUUGGCGGCGACGCCAGUGCAGAGGGCUGCUGCUAUUGGGCCGACCGAGGGCACGCGCGACUCAGCUCACCCCGGCAAACCUGUUGGCACGUCAGUGCCGACAGUCGGCGCUGGUGUGGCGGCCUCCUCACUCGCAUCAACGUGCAAUGCAGCUGGGGAUGCCGUGUUCAACGAAGAGAUGGUGCUAGCUGUCGAAGAGCGCGCAGCGAACUCGCCGCUCGUCGAGGACGCUUCCGCUACAGAGUCGCCGGCAUCGUUUGUAAAGCGGGCGACGUCACCGGCAGCGGCAGCGGCAGCGAAGCCCUUCACCGACUCUAACUCGCGUAUUCUCAGCGGCAGUAGCAGCGGCGCUGCUAUAGGAAGAGGUGAGGCCGCGGUCUUUGGCGGCAAUGUCGGGGCAUCGAGGGCAGCGUACGCCCCUCUAUUUUCGGCAACCUCAGCGCACGUGGCCGCGACCAGCUCUAGGUCGGUCGCCCAGGACCUCGGCACCGUAGCGCCUGCGAUGAUGGAUGCCACGAACAGUGUGCCGCUCUUUGUUCCGCCGCUGACUGUCGACAACGUGUCACUGCUAUCUCACGACUGGCAGUCCACGCUGCGUGAGCGCUCGAGCAAGGCGAAGCGGAGUGCGAUGGAGAGCUUUCUGAUUGCGUCGGCCGAGGCUGGUGCGGUGGCAACGGCAGCUGCUGCCGCUGCUGCUGCAUCGUCGCCACCGUUGUACCUCGCGGACCCCACCGCCACUGACGUAAACCCUUCCGAAGUGUGCGCUGGUGGCUGCGGAGGCCUUACCGUCGCUGCUCUUGGUGCUGAGGCUCCCUCUGAGUGGCAGCGACAAACCAGGCCAACACAGGCACGCCAGGUUCUUGCGGUAGAAGAAUUUUACGGGCGUUCUGUCGCCUCAGCUGCCGUUGCCAACGUGCCGCGCUCCGCGCAUGCCCUCCCGCCACGAUCUGGGCCCCAGUCUUUCUUGGAAAUCAAGCGCGACGUGCGGCAACGCAGUGGCAGCCCACGAUUGGUGGCGCAGCGAGAGCCUGAGCAGCAGCAAGCAAAGAGGUCUCCCCCGUUUUCAGCGCCCUCGGAAAAGAAGUCCAUGCAGGGCAAAUCUGCAAUGCCGGUAGGCAGUGUUUCGAAAAGCUGUGCAGCCUCCAAGAGCAGAGACGGCGUAGAGGAACGUUCGACGUCGGCACGCAAGCACAGCCGCCGUCGACGUUGCCGCGCUUCGCCGGAACGUCGCGCCAACAGCAAUGGCGACCAGCUCACAGACGCCCUUAAUGUGGAGACUCUGUCGACAGUGGCAGCCGACUCGCCGUGCAAGAGCAGCAGCAGCGCUGAAAAGAUCAACAUGGCUGGCGACGUCACUGGGGUGGUGGGGGUUUCUCCACAGCCUCUGUCGACGGAGUCUCUCUCCGCGCCUCCCACACUCGGCGAAGCGAAGCAGAAGGCCCAGCAGAGUGACCAGACGAGCAGCAGCAGCAGCCGAUCUUGUUCUGCUGUAGGAAACGGAACGGCUGCCAACGCAGCUGUCGCCGCCGCUACCGACGGUGUGGGUGCCCGCUCUGCGCCGCCGCUGCCGCCGCCGCCUUUCUUCUCCAUCGUUGAGGCUGCCGCGGAGUCACGCGCGUUGCGCUCGGUGGAGAAGGCAGCGGAAAAGCGCCACGGUAAUCAUCAACGAGACGAGCGUCUCAAACACUUCAGCCGUUACUCUCCCUCGCCAUUCUCCUCGGAAGCAUCGCAGUCGCCGAGCAGCAGGAGACGAAAAACGUCGAAUAAGCACAAGAAGGCAAAGCACGACGGCGACGAGCAGAAGAAGCGGCAGCGUGGUCAUGGGCGUCAUGGUCGUCACAGUCGCAGCUGCACGCGCUCGCUGUCGGGUCAGACCUGUGACGCCGCCGCCGCUGAAAUCGACAAUGACAGCGACGUGGACAGCAAUCUCACGACAUCGAUGGAGUUCCAGCUGUCUCGGCUGCGGCUGCUGCGCGAGGCGGCAGUGUUCACGAAGUCGCCUCCCUCUGCGGCCGUAGACGCGUCAAGGCGAAGCACGCGCAAGAAGGACAAGGCAGACGGAAAGGCAGCAAGAAAGGCGGCUGCGGCGAAGGACGAGCACCACCGCCAUCGCAACCGGAGCUCAAAGGAAAAGAGAAAGAGGCCAUCGAAGAAGGCCGCUAAGCGGCGCAGCAAGUCGCCUGCGGCCACCACCGGGUCGCGGCUCAGCGACGGCGCAGACAGGAAGAAAAAGAAGAGGGAGAAAGCAUAUCACCGCUCAACCUCUCCGCCAAAGCCGGGGCCUCUGCCGCCACCGCCCUCGCACCAGCGUUCGCGCGCCUUGUAUGGUGAGGAGGCCGCGGCAGGCGCCGCAGCGUCGCUUUCGGACGCGGCCUCCCGCUACCGCCGCGGCGCCUCUGACUACAGUCCCCGCGCCGACGGCGCCGCCUUCGCAUCGACGUGCCCCUACUUCACGGACGGCAGCAUCUACCGCGGAGGUCAGGAAGAGGACGCGGAGGCGCCUUAUGCACGUCAUCGCGCCGCAGCUCGCACCGAAGCAGACUCGGAAACCUUGUACGAACGCUAUCUUCGGCGCCCUCACACCUCGCCACUGCGCGGUCAACGCCCCCACGUGACAUCGGCAGCAGCGGGAUGGGCAGACGGUUUUCGCCCAGCCUACAGACCCGCGUCACGCCCUGCCGCCACCGUCGAGGAUCCCUCCGUGUGGCAUCGCAGCUACAGCAACCCAAGCCGUCCCUCGACCCGCUGGAAUGACUACGUUCGAGAUGCAGAGCACGGCGCCACUAGCAGGUCGUCGUCCUCUCCGUACACGCACGCUCAUCACUCCCGGUCCCUUGCCCAGCGACGACGCAGUAGUGACGCUGGCACCACUACGGCAAGGGAGCGUGGUCGCGGGAGUGGUGCUGAGGUAGGCUCGCCCAACUCAGAACAACCGGCCUCCGGCACCUACUCUGCCUCCUACACAAGCCGUCGUCGGCAGACAGGUGAGUUCGACGAUAUCGACGUCGCGCCGAUACGGCAGUACUUCAACGACCAUGUCCAAGUCGGCACCGACGACCGCAGCGGCGGUGAGCAGUACGGCACCACCUCAGCCUUUGAGUGGCAUCACAGUCAGUCAGCCGCCUCCAACCACGCGCCGAUGGCCCGCCCCUGGCUAUCCAACAACUACGAACGGAGCCGCGCCGCUGCGACAAAGAAGCACGUCAACGUGGACGACCUUCUCGUAUCGACUCCGCCGAACGACGGUGAUGAGGGGUAUGUGCCUGAUAACACCAACGACUUCAGCCGCGCUCGUCAGUGCCAAAGACGAGGCACACGGGUGCCGCCACUUCCACCGCCACCCUCGCCACCGCAAGCCUCAACACCACCGUCAGCGGCGCCGACAGACACGGUGCUUGCUGCCAUCCCACGUUCCGGUGCGCUUCCCAUCCUGUCAGAGCACACCGUAACGGACGCACAGACAGCGGAGGACUUUGUGCAGGGGGUAAGAGAAAUCAUCAGCUCACUGCAGCAGUACAGGAACUCGGCGUGAGACGGCUGGCGCUGCGGCGAAUAAGACGGUGCAAGUACUGGCUGUGCCGCCUGACUGUGCCCGCCUGUUCGAUGCGCCGGUGAAGGGCUGGGCAUCAGUAUGUUUAUCCGCUCCUUUCCUCCGAGAUGCAUCAUCACCAGAGCUAUUGUAGUCGAGCAUCGUUGUGGGCACUCCUCCCUACUCCCUCCCCCCUCGCCACGUUUUUUUUUGUUGCUGCUCGAUCUUCUCGCCCAUCUGACCGCGCCGCACGAAUUAGAAGUGCUGCCCACUUUCGAUAGAAUGCGUACCUUUAUAUGCGUUGGGUCGCGUAGCUGUGUGUGUCUUCGCUGUCUCUCUUUUCUCUGUUGGACUUACACUUCUGCGCUGUCUUUCUCUCGUUACUGCUGCUGCGCGCGGGGAGGGGAGGAAGGGCUGGGCUGGGCUCGACUCGGCCUCCCCCCACCUUUUUUUCUUUUUCUUCCGGCUUCCUCUUUGUUGAUUGUGGAUGCGCUUGUGCCCCCUCCCCUCCCCUCCCGACAGGUGCGGUGAGUUAGAGGGGCGGGAGAGGUUCCCGGCAUUUUCGCCCAGAACGAGGAAUGCCACCGUACGCGCGGCCCCCUUCCCCCUCCUUCACUCAGCACUUAGACAUAC
rnacentral:misc_RNA from 1 species